GCCAGACUCCUACGGGAGGCAGCAGUGGGGAAUAUUGGACAAUGGGGGGAACCCUGAUCCAGCGACGCCGCGUGAGUGAAGAAGUAUUUCGGUAUGUAAAGCUCUAUCAGCAGGGAAGAAAGAAAUGACGGUACCUGACUAAGAAGCCCCGGCUAACUACGUGCCAGCAGCCGCGGUAAUACGUAGGGGGCAAGCGUUAUCCGGAUUUACUGGGUGUAAAGGGAGCGUAGACGGCGAUGCAAGCCAGAUGUGAAAGCCCGGGGCUCAACCCCGGGACUGCAUUUGGAACUGUGUGGCUGGAGUGUCGGAGAGGCAGGCGGAAUUCCUAGUGUAGCGGUGAAAUGCGUAGAUAUUAGGAGGAACACCAGUGGCGAAGGCGGCCUGCUGGACGAUGAGUGACGUUGAGGCUCGAAAGCGUGGGGAGCAAACAGGAUUAGAUACCCGCGUACUG
rnacentral:rRNA from 1 species